CUCUCGCCCGCGGGAGAGUCCGGUGGAAACGCCGGCGCCGAAGGAGCAACAACCCGGAAACUCUCAGGCAAAUGGACCGCGGUGCGUAA
rnacentral:ncRNA from 1 species